rnacentral:rRNA from 1 species
UACGUAGGGGGGCUAGCGUUGUCCGGAUUUAUUGGGCGUAAAGAGCGUGUAGGCGGCCAUGUAGGUCUGACGUGAAAAUUCCGAGGCUCAACCUCGGCAGGUCGUUGGAAACCAUAUGGCUAGAGUCCGGAAGAGGCGAGUGGAAUUCCCCGGUGUAGCGGUGAAAUGCGCAGAUAUCGGGGAGGAACACCUAUGGCGAAGGCAGCUCGCUGGGACGUUACUGACGCUGAGACGCGAAAGCGUGGGGAGCAAACAGG